CCCCACUCUCUCCACAACUCUGAGAAUCAGAACCUCUCUCUUUCUUCAAAACUUCAUUAUUGAUCUCUCAAAUCUCUCACUCACUCGCUCUCUCUCUCUCUCUCUCUCUCUCUCUCUAAACCCUUCGGUCUCAGAGAUUACGAUUCAACCUUCUUCAGCUCGGUGAGCACCACCGUCUACAAUCUCAGUUUCGUAUCCUCUCUCUCUCUCUCUCUCUCUUUCAAGCUCUUCCUUCCGUCUAUUCUUCCCCUAGGGUUUGGAUCAACUCUCCUCUUGCCUGACUAUGUUGUGAGAUUUGAGUUCAAACAGUAAAGGAAGCCCUAGAUUGUUGUGUUUUGGGGGUUCUUCUUGUUCCUUGAAGGCAAUACCGCUACAGUUAUUGAGACUUGGUCAUCUCUUUUUCCCCCUCAAGAAGAUCAAUGUGGUGACAUAGCGGGGUUUUGUUCUAGUAGAUGAGCGUAUCCUGCCAGUGCACAAGGGAUUUUUGUUGUUGAACAAGUCAGUGGAAAAGAUCACGUGCUCAACCAUUUGGGCAUUCCAGCAGCUUGUUUCACUCACCCAGAAAUUAGUAUGGUUGGACUCACAGAGCCUCAAGAGAGGGAGAGAGCUGAAAUAGAGGGGUUUGAAAUAAGUGUUGCCAAGACAAGUUUAAUAAUAUCUAUGGUAAUUGAUAUAAUUUUUUUUGUGUUUUCAAGCAAAAACACAAACUUUGAACUAUUUAGUUUGACUCAACACAUUUUGAAACUUAUUUAGUUUUCAAGCAAACUUUGAACUAUAUCUACUACUCAUUUCGACUCGUCUCAUUUCACACAAGCCCUAUUUAAACUUUUAGAAUUAUGUAUAUUUUGUGUUGCUCUGGUUUCAAUCUUAAUAAACAAUUUUGCUCACAAAUUACAGGGGCAUGG